rnacentral:lncRNA from 1 species
CCCCCCCCCCCAGGGUGUGACGUGAGCAUGUCUGAUCUCUGCUGGGGACAAACCUUGGGGGCUGCUCAUGAGGCGGGGCUUUGUUGACCCGGCGGACGGGGGGGGGGGGGGGGGGGGGGGCGGGGCUAACUUCCACCCAGAGGUCAGAGGUCGGGUAGCCAAUGCAGAGCUGCUAUUGCUCCUCCGCGAGCUGUCGCCCCGAGUUUUAUCUGCAAGCAGCUCAGGGGGCCUGGAGUGGCGCUCCAGACCCUACAGUUCACCUCCAAGGGCAGGAGGGACUCCAAGCCGCCCUCCCCUGCGGGCUCCCCACACCCCACUCCCUCCAUGUAUGUGCAGCACGUGCACACCCAUGCACGCACAUGUGCAUACACGCGCACACCUAUGCUGGGGCACACUGCAAACGCAGCGGUCACCUGUGGGGCGCGCAGGGAGCGCGCGCACACGCACACGCACACGCACGCACAGCCUCCCAGCCUCACCGGCAGACGGGGACGCGCGACCCAGUGGGGUAUGCUCAGCCCGCCGAGCAGUCCCCUUCAGCUGCCGCCACCGCUGCCCCCGACAGCCAGGACCCCCACGCAGGGCCCGCGCCCGGGGAGGGCGCUGCGCUCGGCUUUCAUCGCCGCCCCGUCACGCGGAGGACCCAUGCUCCCAAGGACGCGGGUCCCGCAAUUGCACACACUCACAACAGCCGAUAUGCUCCCCUCGCCCCCACGGGAGUCCCAGAAUCCACCACCCGAGGCCGUGGGAGGCCCCUGAUCUUGUGUCCCAAGGGCCAGUCCGGUCUCCCCUGGCCGCCUCUUGGCUGAGGGCGGGGAACCGAGCUGCCACAGGAGGCCCCACCCCUGCCAUAGCUGGCCACUCGUCCACUCCUCCCACUGCUGAAACUCCCCUCCUCUCCGCCUCUCCGUGGCCUCUCCGUGGCCUCCCCGGGCACGAUGCCUCGCCCUCCUCCAGCCCCGGGCUCCAGAUCCGGAGCCCCGCGCUGGGAAGGCUCUCUGGCUUGUCCCCACCGUGGUGUCGGUGACCUUCCCCGGGUCCGAGCUAUUCCGUCUUCUCUCUCAG